GACGAACGCUGGCGGCGUGCUUAACACAUGCAAGUCGAACGGAAAGGCCCUGGUUUUGUGGGGUGCUCGAGUGGCGAACGGGUGAGUAACACGUGAGUAACUUGCCCUUGAUUUUGGGAUAACUUCAGGAAACUGGGGCUAAUACCGGCUAGGUGCUCCUGCUGCAUGGUGUGGGUUGGAAAGUUUCGGCUGUUGUGGAUGGAUUCGCGGCUUAUCAGCUUUUUGGUCGGGGAGUGGCUUACCAAGGCUUUGACGGGUAGCCGGCCUGCGAGGGUGACCGGCCACAUUGGGACUGAGGUACGGCGCAGAAUCCAACGGGAGGCAGUAGUGGAGAAUAGGGCACAAUGGGCGGAAGCCUGAUGCAGCGGCGCCGCGUGCGGGAUGACGGCCUUCGGGUUGUAAACCGCUUUCGCCUGUGACGAAGCGUGAGUGACGGUAAUGGGUAAAGAAGCACCGGCUAACUACGUG
rnacentral:rRNA from 1 species